AGCGGAGNAAAAGAANUUAACANGAUUCCCCUAGUAACUNCGAGNGAANCGGGNAAAAGCUNAAAAUUAAAAUCUGGNGGUNUUUNNGCCGUCCGAGGUUGUNAUUUAGAGAAGCGUCUUCCGCGCUGGGACCGUGCACAAGUCUCCCGGAACGGAGNGUNGUAGAGGGUGAGAAUCCCGUCUUUGGCAUGGACCCCACCAGGGCUUUUUGCGAUGCGCUCUCGAAGAGUCGAGUUGUUUGNGNNNGCAGNNCAAAAUGGGUGGUGANCUCCAUNUAAAGNUAAAUAUUGGNGAGAGACCGAUAGNGAACAAGUACCGUGAGGGAAAGAUGAAAAGCACUUUGGAAAGAGAGUGAAACAGUACGUGAAAUUGUUGAAAGGGAAACGCUUGAAGUCAGUCGCGUCGUCCGAGACUCAGCCUCGCCUCGGCUUGGCGUACUUCUCGGCCCGACGGGUCAGCAUCAAUUUCGCCUCUCGGAUAAUGGCGAGGGAAAAGUGACACCUUUACGGUGUGUUAUAGUCUCUCGUCGCAUGCGAGGGUCGGGAUUGAGGAACUCAGCACGCGCCCUCGGGCGUCGGGGCUUUCGCCCACGAUACGUGCUUAGGAUGUUGGCGUAAUGGCUUUAAACGACC
rnacentral:rRNA from 1 species